CCGGUCCUUGGGCUUUGCGCCACCUGCACUUAACCCGCUGCGCUACUGCCCAACUCCCAGGGUUCUUUGCCUUUUAUAAGCAAAGUUUUUUUUUUUCCUGCAGGGUUAUCCCUGGGGCUGGUGCCUGUACUAUGUACUGCUUCUGGUGGCCAUUUUCCCCCUAUUUUAUUGGGUAGGACAGAGAGAAAUUGAGAGAGAAAGAGGAGGUAGAGAAGAAGAUGGAAACAGAGACACCUGCACACCUGUUUCACACUUUGUGAAGUGUCUCCCUUGCAGGUGGGAAGUUGAGGACUCGAACCUGGAUCCCUGCAUAGGUCUCUGUGUUUAGUGCUAUGUGAGCUUAACUGGGGGCACCACUUCCUGGCCUGGAAGAGCUUUCUUUGACCAGACAGGCUUGUGUGUCAUCCAUCCAUGUAGUUCCUGUGACCCAACAGUCACUCAAGGCACCUACUAAAUGUUGACCGAGAAAAUCAGAGAAGAACGGGGACCAGGGAACUUCAAAUCUUUUGGCCUUAUCGACAUUGGGAAAUGGUAUAGUGACCUGUGAGAGAGGAAGUGUGUGCUGGGUUGAAGUAUAGCAGUGAGGGAGGGAAUCUCUUUAAGGAAAUUAAGUCAGAAGGACUCGCAGUGGGAUAAAGAAUCGAAUCGUUUCCAGUGGACGGGAUGGGACACAUAUCUCUGGUGGUGAGAACUGCAUAGAAUUAUAUUAGACUAUGCUGAACUGUACUAAUUCUACAACUUUGUAAAUCAUUAUUAAAUCACUAAUAAAAAGUGAAAAAAAUACAUUACAAGGAAGAGGAUAAACACCAGAUAACCUCAUUCAUAAGUGAAACUUAGGGGACAAGUAAGGGGAAAUGCAGGGAGAGGCCUUCAUAAAGUGUGGCCUAUUUCAGCGGAUUCACAUGACUCCAAGGGUCAUGGUGAAUAGGAGUUGGAAGAGAAUUGAACAUUCAGUGCCCUCUGAAGAGGGAGGUGACAAUUGGUGGCUGACGUUUGUCUUGGGGAGAUGUGAAACUAUUGAAUCCUUGGGCCACCAUUACUCUUGCUAAUCUACAUUUCUUCAAUAAAUUCCUAAGAAUAUGAAA